GGAGCUGAUCUUCAUAAGCUUGUUUCGGAGAAAGUAGUGCUAAAGUAACGUUCUUCCCAUGGUGUUUGAAGGUAUAUCGAUUGGUAUAACCAUCAUGCAAUACUCAGCGAUCAAAUUGCCAUGGUCUACCUAACAAUAAGUAACCAACAUGUAUUGGCACUACAUCGCAAAUAACUUCGUCGCUGUAUUUGCCAAUCGAGAAAGUGAUGACAGGUUGCAUAGUAACUUUGAGCUCACCACCAUCAUUGAGC
rnacentral:lncRNA from 1 species